rnacentral:rRNA from 1 species
CACGGGGGGAGCAAGCGUUGUUCGGAAUCAUUGGGCGUAAAGGGUGCGUAGGCGGCGGGGCAAGUCUGAUGUGAAAUCCCGGGGCUCAACCCCGGAACUGCAUUGGAUACUGCCUUGCUUGAGUACUGGAGAGGAGACUAGAAUUUACGGUGUAGCAGUGAAAUGCGUAGAGAUCGUAAGGAAGGCCAGUGGCGAAGGCGAGUCUCUGGACAGUAACUGACGCUGAGGCACGAAGGCCAGGGGAGCAAACGGG